UACAGAGGUCUCAAGCGUUGUUCGGAUUCAUUGGGCGUAAAGGGUGCGUAGGCGGCGCGGUAAGUCGGGUGUGAAAUCUCGGGGCUUAACUCCGAAACUGCAUUCGAUACUGCCGUGCUUGAGGACUGGAGAGGAGACUGGAAUUUACGGUGUAGCGGUGAAAUGCGUAGAUAUCGUAAGGAAGACCAGUGGCGAAGGCGGGUCUCUGGGGCAUAACUGACGCUGAGGAGCGAAAGCAUGGGGAGCGAACAGG
rnacentral:rRNA from 1 species